UGGUGGAGUGAUUUGUCAGGUUAAUUCCGUUAACGAACGAGACUUUGACUUGCUAACUAGUCUUUGGAGAGUUUGCUUCAGAGUACUUCUUAGAGGGACUUUGCGUGCUUAACGUGAGGAAGUUCAAAGCAAUAACA
rnacentral:rRNA from 1 species